rnacentral:rRNA from 1 species
CCCUUAGAUGUCCUGGGCUGCACGCGCGCUACACUGUUCGACGCAGCGAGUCUUAACCUUGACCGAAAGGUUUGGGUAAUCUUCAGCAAAGUCGAACGUGAUGGGGAUCGAUCAUUGCAAUUAUUGAUCGUGAACGAGGAAUUCCUAGUAAGUGCAAGUCAUCAGCUUGCGCUGAUUACGUCCCUGCCCUUUGUACACACCGCCCGUCGCUACUACCGAUUGAAUGGUUUAGUGAGAUCUCUGGAUUGACGCUGGCUAGGGGGCGACCCUUGGCCAGACUGCUCGAGAAACUGCUCAAACUUGAUCAUUUAGAGGAAGUAAAAGUCGUAACA